AUUGAACGCUGGCGGCAUGCCUUACACAUGCAAGUCGAACGGCAGCACGGGAGCAAUCCUGGUGGCGAGUGGCGAACGGGUGAGUAAUAUAUCGGAACGUGCCCAGUCGUGGGGAUAACGUAGCGAAAGCUACGCUAAUACCGCAUACUAUCUAUGGAUGAAAGCGGGGGAUCGCAAGACCUCGCGCGAUUGGAGCGGCCGAUAUCAGAUUAGGUAGUUGGUGAGGUAAAGGCUCACCAAGCCGACGAUCUGUAGCUGGUCUGAGAGGACGACCAGCCACACUGGGACUGAGACACGGCCCAGACUCCUACGGGAGGCAGCAGUGGGGAAUUUUGGACAAUGGGCGCAAGCCUGAUCCAGCAAUGCCGCGUGCAGGAUGAAGGCCUC
rnacentral:rRNA from 1 species